GUGAAGGAGGAGCCGGCAGGUGCGGUAAUACGGACCGGUCAAGCGUUAUUCGGGAUUAGUGGGCUUAAAGUGUACGUAGGCGGCGCGGUUAGUCGGGUGUGAAAUCCCAGGGCUCAACCCUGGAACUGCGCCCGAGACUGCAGUGCUUGAGGGAGACAGAGGUAAGCGGAACUGAUGGUGGAGCGGUGAAAUGCGUUGAUAUCAUCAGGAACACCGGUGGCGAAAGCGGCUUACUGGGUCUCUUCUGACGCUGAGGUACGAAAGCCAGGGUAGCGAAGGGGAUUAGAUACCCGAGUAGUC
rnacentral:rRNA from 1 species